CUACGGGGUGCACCAGUAGGGAAUAUUGCACAAUGGGCGAAAGCCUGAUGCAGCAACGCCGCGUGCGCGAUGAAGGCCUUCGGGUUGUAAAGCGCUUUUCUGAGGGAAGAGGAAGGACUGUACCUCAGGAAUAAGUCUCGGCUAACUACGUGCCAGCAGCCGCGGUAACACGUAGGAGGCAAGCGUUAUCCGGAUUUACUGGGCGUAAAGCGCGUGUAGGCGGUUUGGCAAGUCGGAUGUGAAAGCUCCUGGCUCAACUGGGAGAGGUCGUUCGAAACUGCCAGACUAGAGGACGGUAGAGGAAGAUGGAAUUCCCGGUGUAGUAGUGAAAUGCGUAGAUAUCGGGAGGAACACCAGUGGCGAAGGCGGUCUUCUGGGCCGUUCCUGACGCUGAGACGCGAAAGCAUGGGUAGCGAACGGGAUUAGAUACCCGCGUAGUC
rnacentral:rRNA from 1 species